GCCCUGGUGGUCCAGUGGUUAAGACUCCAUGCUCCCAAUGCGGGGGACCUGAGUUCAAACCUUGGUCAGGGAA
rnacentral:tRNA from 1 species